rnacentral:rRNA from 1 species
UACGUAGGGUGCGAGCGUUAAUCGGAAUUACUGGGCGUAAAGCGUGCGCAGGCGGUGCUGUAAGACCGAUGUGAAAUCCCCGGGCUUAACCUGGGAACUGCAUUGGUGACUGCAGCGCUGGAGUAUGGCAGAGGGGGGUGGAAUUCCACGGUGUAGCAGUGAAAUGCGUAGAGAUGUGGAGGAACACCGAUGGCGAAGGCAGCCCCCUGGGCCAAUACUGACGCCUCAUGCACGAA